ACUCAAAGGAAUUGACGGGUCCCCGCACAAGCAGCGGAGCGUGUGGUUUAAUUCGAUGCUCCGCGAAGAACCUUACCUGGGUUUGACAUAACAGUGGUAGAGAAACGAAAGUGGACCGACCCUUCGGGGAGCUGUUACAGGUGUUGCAUGGCUGUCGUCAGCUCGUGUCGUGAGAUGUUCGGUUAAGUCCGCUAACGAGCGCAACCCGCGCUGUGUGUUACAAGUGUCACACAGUACCGCCGGUAUUAAGUCGGAGGAAGGUGCGGAUGACGUCAAGUCAGCAUGACCUUUAUAUCCAGGGCUACACACACGCUACAAUGGUCAGCACAAUAGGUUGCCAAGCCGCAAGGCGGAGCCAAUCCUCCAAAGCUGGCCUCAGUUCAGAUUGCAGGCUGCAACUCGCCUGCAUGAAGUCGGAGUUGCUAGUAACCGCAGGUCAGCAUACUGCGGUGAAUACGUUCCCGGGGAUUGUACACACCGCCCGU
rnacentral:rRNA from 2 species